CUCCCUGGUGAGUUAGUAGUCAGGCUGACUUCCUGCUCUCAGCUGUGGGCCACAACUGACAGUCUGGAAGCCUUUGAGGAGAGCAAGGGACCAGAGCUCACUCUCCUAGGCCCCAGGCAAGAGGAGCAGCUUCAGCAACAGGAUGUCCACAGAACAGCAGGACCCAGGGAAUUUCUUUAAAGAUAUAUUCCUGCACUUCAAAGCACAUAGAGUGAAGAUUUCAUUUGCAAUAAAAACGCCAUUUCCUUUUUUUGAGAUCCUCCGUGACACUGAGCUCAUCACCGAGAAAAUGUAUGAUGAUUUUACAGAUUCCUGUAUGAACCGGGUCCCUGUAAAAAAAGUGGUCUACAGAGCCCUGGAAGUACUGGAGAAGAGAUUUGACCUAGAGGUUCUGAGGGUACUGUUCAGUGAAGAAAACAUGAAGGCAUACCCUGAUUUGGAAUUCUUUGCCAGAAGUUUUGAAAAUGUCUCACAGAACAAAUUGUGUUUCCAUGGAAGUGAUAGAAGGUCCCCGAAUUCCCAGCUAUGUCUUGAACAAGGAACUGGUGACAGCUGUUCUGAAGAAAGCCUGACUUAGUCACCCUCAGAUCCCUCCUCAUCUGAUGGCUGGAGAAAUAAUGAUAGAAGAAAUACCACACUCAUCCAGGGAAAUCAAACUGAGAACCAUCAAUCCUCCGGCUUCCAGAUUGACAAUGGUAUAACGCAAUAAUGUUUAUUUCUUUAUUCCAUGACUCGUCUUUGGAAACACAUCCCUGGCACUUUGGAAGUGUUACUAUGUGACUUUCAGAGGGGAUGUGUCAUUUAAGAAGAGAUUUCUUAAUAUUAACACAAUAUUUUUAAAUGCUUUCAAAGGUUUAUUUAUUUUUGUUUUAUGUGUGUACAUGUUGUCUGCAUUUAUGUAUAUGUACCAUGUGUGUCCCUGGUGCCCUCAGAGGCCAGAACUGGAAUUAUAAAGAGUUGUACACCUCCAUAUGGAUUCUAGAAACCAUACCCAGGUCCUCUAGAUGAGCAGUAAGUGCUCUUAAGCACUGUGACAGCUCUCCAGACACCAACUGCCCACCACACACACACACACACACACACACACACACACACACACACACACACACACAAACUCUGGAAAAAAAUCUUUCCAGAGUGACUUUUGAAAUAAUUGUUAUGCAUCUUAAAAUCUUUCAUUCAAAAAAUUUUAACAUUUGAAAACAGCAAUAUACAAGAGUCUGUAUUCUUAAUUGUUCCUCUGCAGGUGCAGCGUGUGAGGAUGAGAAGCAGUGAAUGGGUGGGAUUGUUAGUGCUAAACAGUAGAAAGGGACCCGGUGGGGAGGAGGGAUGCAGGAGAAAUAGGUGAGUUCUUUGUGAGUCUGUGGUCUGGAGAAACCCUAUCUGGAAAUGGCACCCUAAUGAUGCCAGUGACAGGGAUGGAUGAAUAUACAGAAAUAUAAACCAACAUCCAGAUGGUUCACAGGUGAACACUUAGACAUCAAUGUACAUGUCCAAUAGUCUGACCCAGCAGAGACAAUGACUGUGAUGCACACAAACGAGGCUAGAGCUGUAAACAUGCCCAGGACCCCAAAAGGUCUGGGAUCUAACCACUACUGAUUGUAACAAAGUGUGCACCCAGAUCCACAUCCCAUGUUAAAGGUUCUAUAAUUAAUUUUUCAAUUAUUGGAACUUAACUCUGUGUAGAAAAUAUUAAAUGAAAAACAUGAAACUGUA